rnacentral:rRNA from 1 species
GACGAACGCUGGCGGCGUGCCUAAUACAUGCAAGUAGAACGCAGUUGCGAACGGGUGAGUAACGCGUAGGUAACUGCCUCAUAGCGGGGGAUAACUAUUGGAAACGAUAGCUAAUACCGCAUACUGUGAGAUGUACCUGCGUUGGAUUAGGUAGUUGGUGAGGUAAAGGGUCACCAAGGCGACGAUACAUUGCCGGCCUCAGAGGGUGAACGGCCACACUGGGACUGAGAAACGGCCCAGACUCCGACGGGAGGCAGCAGUAGGGAAUCGUCGGCAAUGGACGGAAGGCUGACCGAGCAACGCCGCGUGAGUGAAGAAGGGUUUCGGGUCGUAAAGCUCUGUUGUUAGGGAAGCGGUAACGGACGAGAAAGGGACGGCUAACUACGUGCCAGCAGCCGCGGUAAUAC